UGUCUGUUUUGUUUUACUGUGAUUUUACAGGUAACUGAAGUAACUUGUAAGCACAGUUGGAGAACUUUGUGAUGAAUUACAUCUUUUGCCUGAAUCAUUUAGCGUCACUACUUUUUAUGAAGAUAUGCUUCAAGUCAAGACAUUUCCUAGACAGAACCUAAGAUAGUAAGAAAAUUGUUCUUCGAGCCUGAAAGAAGAAGCACUUUCCUUCCAGGACUUGUGGUGACAUCCAACAGUGAUGAUGCCUAAAUGUAAGGACCCCCACAGUGAGAUGGACCUGUGUGCAAAAGCAUCUAUGAGGCUCAUGGUGAAGAUUACAGCUGAAAUGUGCCUAGCGCCAGCGUUUUCAUAAUUCAUUCAUCACCGGAAGGGCAUCGAGGCUGGCUUCAUUUCCAGUUCAUUUCCAGUGGAUGUGCAAGUGUUUCUCUGGCAGGAUGCAGAGUCUCCCUGCCAGAGUGGAGCACUAGGGUAAUUCUGUUUCAUUUGUGAGAAGCCUCUACACUGGUUUCCACAGUGGCUGCGCCAGUCCACACUUUGACCAGCAGGGAAUAAUGCCCUCUUUUCUGCAUCCUUGACUGUGAGUUGAUGGCGGUGAUGCUGCAGCUGAUGACAGGGACUGUUGGGACUUCUUGGGUUUCUAGCAGCAUCAACAGAAAGUAUUGAUUCACCUGUCCUACUUUCCUGAUCCUCCCAGUGACUGAUUAGUCAAUUUCCCGCUGGAUUUAUGCUCUGUAGUGUUUGAUUCACACCAUGAAAAUUUUGAUUCUGAAGUAAAUAUGAUUUUCCUAAUCUCAGCCUACU